rnacentral:rRNA from 1 species
AACGAACGCUGGCGGCAUGCCUAACACAUGCAAGUCGAACGAGACCUUCGGGUCUCGUGGCGCACGGGUGCGUAACGCGUGGGAACCUGCCCUUAGGUUCGGAAUAACUCCCCGAAAGGGGUGCUAAUACCGGAUAAUGUCUUCGGACCAAAGAUUUAUCGCCUUUGGAUGGGGCCGCGUUGGAUUAGCUAGUUGGUAGGGUAAAAGCCUACCAAGGCGACGAUCCAUAGCUGGUCUGAGAGGAUGAUCAGCCACACUGGGACUGAGACACGGCCCAGAAUCCUACGGGAGGCAGCAGUGGGGAAUAUUGGACAAUGGGCGAAAGCCUGAUCCAGCAAUGCCGCGUGAGUGAUGAAGGCCUUAGGGUUGUAAAGCUCUUUUACCCGGGAUGAUAAUGACAGUACCGGGAGAAUAAGCUCCGGCUAACUCCGUG